GCGAUAGCUCAACCAGGAGAGCAUGAGACUCUUAAUCUCAGGGUUGUGGGUUUAAGCCCCACGUUGGGCA